CUUGAUUAGUGACGUCACGCUAACCGCUGGACUUUGAAUUGUCGGCUGCCAAAAAGGGAAUGGAAAAUGAGAAAUGACAAUUAUCAGUGCCUCUCUUGUGAAACAUAGUUUUAAUAACAGUGUAACCUAGGCAUUGAGCGACUAAAAAUGAAGGGUGACAGCCUACUUCUGGAGCUGUGGGAAACGCUUGACAGAGGAGAGACUUUUGAUCUGCUGCUUUUGGACUCUGAUAAUUGGACUGCAUCCUGAAUAAGUAUUAUAUCAUUGAAAAGCCAUUGGACUGGAGAGGGUCAGCUGAAAUACCAACUGCAAACCAAGUCUGCUAAAAGAUUUGAUUAUUGAACUUUGGAUCACCAUGGAGGACAGUUUUCUUCUGCACGUCCUCGAGCUGUCGGCACACUGGUUCGGAGGGUUUCCUUCAGGAAGGAGAGGUCUAUGUUCUGACCACAGGCUGAUAGAAGGAGCCUGAUAACCUUAAAAAACAAGUGCAACACUGCCAGCUGACAUGAAGCAGAUGUCCUCCUGACCCUCUUUUUUCUUGGGAACCAAAACACACAAACAAGAAUACAGGAAUGGAGGGCAUGAAUGUCAGCACAGAAAGUCUGCUACAAGGUGUGGUGUGAUCCUUCAGACUUUAUGAGCUGCAGAAGCUGUUAGAAUAACAUUUGAGCUUUGGUGUGGCGAAGCAAACCAUAAAGUAACUUUACGAGGAAUGUUGUUUUAUUCUCAUGCUGUUUAUGUUUUCAAUCACCUGCCAAGGGUCAAAAGAUGAACUUGAGCAUGUUUUACUUACUGUAGCUCAUUUACACCUUUUUCAUCAAUGGAAAAUGAUUAGCCUUCUGAGCUAUGAGGGUUUACAAUAUGUUCUUCUACAGCUUGAAUAAAACAUACAACAUUUAUAUAACACUGAAUUGUAAAAUGUGACAAUGCAGCUUUA